GCCUACCAAGCCUGCGAUCUCUAGCUGGUCUGAGAGGAUGACCAGCCACACUGGAACUGAGACACGGUCCAGACUCCUACGGGAGGCAGCAGUGGGGAAUAUUGCGCAAUGGGGGGAACCCUGACGCAGCCAUGCCGCGUGAAUGAAGAAGGCCUUAGGGUUGUAAAGUUCUUUCGGUAUUGAGGAAGGUUGAUGUGUUAAUAGCACAUCAAAUUGACGUUAAAUACAGAAGAAGCACCGGCUAACUCCGUGCCAGCAGCCGCGGUAAUACGGAGGGUGCGAGCGUUAAUCGGAAUAACUGGGCGUAAAGGGCACGCAGGCGGUUAUUUAAGUGAGGUGUGAAAGCCCCGGGCUUAACCUGGGAAUUGCAUUUCAGACUGGGUAACUAGAGUACUUUAGGGAGGGGUAGAAUUCCACGUGUAGCGGUGAAAUGCGUAGAGAUGUGGAGGAAUACCGAAGGCGAAGGCAGCCCCUUGGGAAUGUACUGACGCUCAUGUGCGAAAGCGUGGGGAGCAAACAGGAUUAGAUACCCUGGUAGUCCACGCUGUAAACGCUGUCGAUUUGGGGGUUGGGGUUUAACUCUGGCGCCCGUAGCUAACGUGAUAAAUCGACCGCCUGGGGAGUACGGCCGCAAGGUUAAAACUCAAAUGAAUUGACGGGGGCCCGCACAAGCGGUGGAGCAUGUGGUUUAAUUCGAUGCAACGCGAAGAACCUUACCUACUCUUGACAUCCUAAGAAGAGCUCAGAGAUG
rnacentral:rRNA from 1 species